CCGGCCUAGUAUGUAGAAACAGUGCAGUGAGUGCACUAGGAACCUAGAGACGAGAGAGAGAGAGAGAGAGAGUGGAGGAGAGUCAGUGCAUGGUUUAUCAUCAGCGGCACCGGUGAGAGCGGUAAGGCGGAGGUCGGCUUUUGGAUCGCAUAGGCAGCAGACUAGUAAAAUUCCUGACCCUCUUCUUCAAAUUCAAUUCGCAGGGUUGGCGAUUCGCGAAGGGACAACAACUGCUGGUUGUCGCGUUGCAAUCAGUCGAACCACUAUCGCUGCAUUGCCUACUUCCUCAAGUGAUCAUUUCACCCAACUCCUCUUACUGAAAUCUCGCAAUUUGGAAUCCCUUUCUCCAUGUCUUGAUUUUCUUUGAUCUCAAAACAAACCAUAAAAGCGAAUCUUAUACAUUACGUUAGAUUUUUCUGAUGAUAUACAGCUAUAUGCGUCGACAAAUUUUUCUGGUUGCAUCAGAUGCUGUAGUUCGUGUGAUUUUGUUUUGAAGAAGAAAGAGCAAUGUUCGGUGCCGUGCAGUUCGGUGUCAUGGCGGCGUGCGUUGUUCUCUUCGUCCCGAUGGGCAUGGCAGGCUGGCAUCUCAGCCGCAACAAGAUGCUCUUCUUCAGUGGGGCCCUCUUCAUCACUCUCGCCGUUGGAGUCCAUCUCACCCCUUAUUUCCCAUCAAUGUCUGAUUUGGUAUCGUCUGUUUCCUCGGUCUCUGUACUGGAGAAUCGUGAUUCUUGCAUAUCUUUCCUUCACGAGAUUGUUUAUGAUGUGAAACCAGUUAGCGUUAUUGAGCCUUUGAAUAAUUAUAGCAACGAGAGUUCUUCUAAUUUUGAUAAAUCAUGGGGAUGGGUAAAGUCUGCACAGGUAAUUGCCUGUGAAUUUCAGAAAUUAGGUCAGUCUGACGCCUCAGAUUUGCUUAAUGGAUCAUGGAUUGUUGUUGGUGGGGAUUCACAAGCACGAUUAGUUGUGCUUGCACUUUUGAAUUUGGUUUUGGACUCCGAAAAGAUGGAAUCUGUUCGGAGUGAUUUGUUUAAGCGGCACAGUGAUUAUCAGAUUGUGAUUGAUGAAAUUGGGAUGAGAUUGGAUUUUAUUUGGGCCCCGUAUGCAACAAAUCUAACAGAUUUGAUGAUGGAAUACAAUCAAGCUAAGAGUUAUCCAGAUGUUCUGGUAAUGGGUUCAGGGUUAUGGCAUAUGCUUCAUGUCACGAAUGCAUCUGAUUAUGGUGGUUCUUUACAAUUACUGGGGAGUUUGGUGUCAUCAGCUGCAUCUCAGCUUCCAAUUUCAUCAAAAGUUGGUACAGAUGGGCCUGUGACGGGGUCUGUUUCAAUUCGAUUGCCUCACUUGUUUUGGCUUGGCAUGCCAAUGUUGAUAAAUUCGAUGUUGAAUACACAGGAGAAGAUGGAGAAGAUGAGUAUGGCAAUGCAGGAUGCUUACGAUAGAGAACUUUAUAGAAGUAAACUUCUGCAUGGUUUUGGUGGGUCGCUUUUAUUGUUGGACAUUCAUUCCUUGAGUAAGAGAUGCGGAAUUCGGUGCACAGAAGAUGGGAUGCAUUAUGAUGGAGUUGUUUAUGAAGCUGCUGUCCAUAUCAUGCUAAAUGCAUUGCUUAUUGAAUCUCAUCAGAUUCUUUGAGGGUAAUAUUUUUGAGUCUCCUUCUGCUCCUCCAUUUACCAGGUGCAGAAAUGAGUAGAUUGAUCAACAUGUGCAAAAGUCUUGAUCCUUUUGAGACGUUGACUUCUUCCUCCAAUGCUGCAUUUUUAAUUCUUUCCAGAAGCUAAGAGAGUAUAUAUCGAGGGAAAAAAUUCAAAGAGUACAACAAACAGCCUUCACACCAAGUCAAAGACUGUAAAAUGAAAAGAGAAGCAAAAUGGAAAGGGGCAGCAUAAAAACUACUGUUUAAUCCAUCAUUUUUGCUUUUACAUCUUGGUGAAUUUUGUAUACGAUAUUUUCAGGAAUGAAAGCUUCUUGUUUGUAGAUGAGGGAGUUCCUUGCUUUCCAGAUUUGAUAAACUGUGGCAGACCAUAACAGCCUCCAAAUAUCGUAUUUCCUCUCCUUUCCCAGAGAAGAAUCCAAUCUAAUGCAGCAAUCCAUGAUUAACACUGCUUAUCCAUAUUGAAUUUGGAAAAGGCCUCGUAAUAAACUUUUCUAGAGGGAUCACGGUUGAAAGGCUGGUGCAUAAUCUGCGAGUAUGAAGCCUCAAAUUUUAGUUGAAAUUAAAGUUAAGACUUUGGUUGCAAAAUCAUUAACUGAAUACUGCAGUGAUGGUACCAAAGUAUGGGUUAUUAGAGUUCGUGGUGAUGUUUGAGAGAUGGAGAGCGAGAACACUCUUUGAAGAAUAAGGCUGCAAGCCAGUUGAGGAUUAUGUGUCCCCAUAUUGAGAUUGUAAGUUUGGAGUAUGUGUGCCCCUUUCGAGAUUGUAACUAUUGGAAAAGAAUAUUUCCAAUGUCCUUUUCAUUGAAUACUGACUUGUGGUUUCAACAUCAGCUGUAGGCAACAAUGAGGUAGUAGCAAACAGCAACUGAGAAGGGAAACCAGUGUUUGCCACCUCUGGUUUAUCUGGUAUCAUUUAUUUAUUUAUUUAUUAUGCUGGUGUUUCUGUAUAAUGGAGAAACAGAUUAUGUAAACACAUUUGUUUCUAUGGGUAGUUUUCUGUUUC